AUAAAAUAUUCAAAAGGAAAUUGGCAUAGAAAGUUUUCGCUUCUUUUUUUGUUCGCAGCCUAAGGCAGAUUUCGGGGUUUUGCCCAAGGACCCAGCCAAGCGCCCCAAGGAGCUGGAGCGCGUGUUAAGCGAUUAACGGUGCUUCAGAGCAGCCACCCCACCGCUCCCCUGCCCACCAGAGGGUUAAUGCACUCAACAACAAAAACUCCGAUUACCAGGUGAGUGGAUAGAGGUGUUGGCAUUUGUCUGGAAUGCUCACCCCUACCCUAUCCUCUCGUCC
rnacentral:lncRNA from 1 species